rnacentral:rRNA from 1 species
GUGCCAGCCGCCGCGGUAAUACGUAGGUGGCAAGCGUUAUCCGGAUUUAUUGGGCGUAAAGAGAGUGCAGGCGGUUUUCUAAGUCUGAUGUGAAAGCCUUCGGCUUAACCGGAGAAGUGCAUCGGAAACUGGACAACUUGAGUGCAGAAGAGGGUAGUGGAACUCCAUGUGUAGCGGUGGAAUGCGUAGAUAUAUGGAAGAACACCAGUGGCGAAGGCGGCUACCUGGUCUGCAACUGACGCUGAGACUCGAAAGCAUGGGUAGCGAACAGGAUUAGAUACCCUGGUAGUCCAUGCCGUAAACGAUGAGUGCUAGGUGUUGGA